ensembl:lncRNA
GAAAAUUUCUGCUGUCCGCCAUUACCUCGCUUCGCAAGCAAAGGACCAUCUCCAUGUGCGAGUCUGCGAGAAAACUCAAUUAAACAAGGUGCCCUCUUUCUGGAAUCAUUAACCGCUGCAGAAUUUGGUUGUCCAGAGGGAUGAAGCUGAAACAGAGCUUGCAAGUUUCACAAUGGCUGUGUUCAUCAUCAGGGAAGAGGGUGAUUCCAACCACCACAUGACAUUGGUAUAGUCAUUGAAGGUGUGAAAGUCCUGAACAGGUUGCCAUCAGUCGCACAUGCAUGUGCCAUGUUAUUUGGCCUAAUUUAUGUGCUGAACUUGAACUAUCCAGGUG